ACCGCCUGCUACCUCUUUAGCAGGUAGAUUCUGCCCAAUGGAACCUAAAUGGCCGCAGUAUCCUGACUGUGCUAAGGUAGCAUAAUAAUUUGUCUCUUAAUUGGAGGCUAGCAUGAAUGAACUGACGAAGAAAAGACUGUCUCAGGAGGGAAGGGGAAAAUUUAUAUCUAGGUAAAAAAUCCUAGGAGUUGUAGAGGGACGAUAAGACCCUAAAAGCUUUACCCUUUAAGCCUGAGCUUGUUUAAUUCUAUUAGGCCUGCAGGGUUUUCACUGGGGCGGUGACUCUAUAAACUAGAGCAACUGAAACACCUUGAGUGAACCCAAUAACCUUAACUAAGAUAUCUAAGUAAGUUACUUUAGGGAUAACAGCGCAAUUCUCUGUGAGAGCCCUUAUCGACCAGAGAGAUUACGACCUCGAUGUUGAAUUGAAGACUUAACCAGAGCAGCAUUUGGUACAAA
rnacentral:rRNA from 1 species